UGGUCCCAGCCUUGAAAUCAGUUUUUACUUAAUAUACACAUGCAAGUCUCCGCACCCCUGUGAAAACGCCCUUAAACCCCCUCAAGGGAUAAGGAGCUGGUAUCAGGCGCAAAAUUAGCCCAAGACACCUAGUUACACCACACCUACACAGGAGCUCAGCAGUGAUUAACAUUGAAAAUAAGCGACAGCUUGAGUCAGUUAAAGUAAAAAGAGCCGGCAAAUCUGGUGCCAGCCGCCGCGGUUACACCAUGUGGCUCAAACUGAUCUCUUCCGGCGUAAAGCGUGAUUAAAGCCAACCAUACUACUGCAAUUAAACUAAAAUUAAGCUGUGACACGCUUAUUAUUAAGAAACCCAAAAACGAAAGUCAUUGCAAAACUAAUAGCUUGAAUUCACGACAGCUAGGAAACAAACUGGGAUUAGAUACCCCACUAUGCCUAGCCGUAAAAUUUUAUUUACAUUAUACACCGCCAGGGAACUACGAGCAAAGCUUAAAACCCAAGGGACUUGACGGUACCCCACAUCCACCUAGAGGAGCCUGUCCUAUAAUCGAUAACCCCCGCUUAACCUCACCAUUUUUAGCCUAUCAGCCUGUAUACCUCCGUCGUCAGCUUACCACGUGAGCGUCAAUUAGUGAGCUCAAUGUUUAUACAUCAACACGUCAGGUCAAGGUGCAGCAUAUAAAAUGGGAAGAGAUGGGCUACACUACCUAAUGUAGAUAAUACGAAAGACUAUAUAUGAAACCUAGUCAGAAGGCGGAUUUAGAAGUAAGAAAAGAUCAAAGUGCUUUUCUUAACCCGGCACUGGGGUGUGUACACACCGCCCGUCACCCUCUUCAAAGCAGUAAAACAGUCUUUAACUAAAUAAAUGCCCCAUAGAAGAGGCAAGUCGUAACAUGGUAAGUAUACCGGAAGGUGUGCUUGGAAA
rnacentral:ncRNA from 1 species